rnacentral:tRNA from 1 species
UAGGGAGCGUCCGUAGAGGUGAUAAGCUGUAGCCUUAUUUAUGGGGAUAAAACUCCUCCUCUCU